GUGGCCAGCGCCGCGGUAAUACCGGCAGCCCGAGUGAUGGCCGAUCUUAUUGGGCCUAAAGCGUCCGUAGCUGGCUGCGCAAGUCCGUCGGGAAAUCCAUCAGCCCAACCGAUGGGCGUCCGGCGGAAACUGCACGGCUUGGGACCGGAAGGCUCGAGAGGUACGUCCGGGGUAGGAGUGAAAUCCCGUAAUCCCGAACGGACCACCGAUGGCGAAAGCAUCUCGAGAAAACGGAUCCGACAGUGAGGGACGAAAGCUAGGGUCUCGAACCGGAUUAGAUACCCGGGUAGUCC
rnacentral:rRNA from 1 species